rnacentral:tRNA from 2 species
GCGGGAGUAGCUCAGAGGUAGAGCAUAACCUUGCCAAGGUUGAGGUCGCGAGUUCGAAUCUCGUUUCCCGCU